rnacentral:rRNA from 1 species
GUACACGCUGUGACUAGCAUAUCAAUAAGCGGAGGAAAAGAAACUAACAAGGAUUCCCUUAGUAACGGCGAGUGAAGCGGGAAGAGCUCAAAUUUGAAAUCUUCAAGGUUUUACCUUGACGAAUUGUAGUUUAAAGAAGUGUUUUCUGCUGAAGUUUUGGUAAAAGUUCUUUGGAAUAGGACAUCAUAGAGGGUGAGAAUCCCGUAUUUGACCAUUAUUUUCAGCUUUGUGAUACACUUUCAAAGAGUCGGAUUGUUUGGGAAUGCAGUCCAAAAUGGGUGGUAAAUUUCAUCUAAAGCUAAAUCUUGGCGAGAGACCGAUAGCGAACAAGUACCGUGAGGGAAAGAUGAAAAGAACUUUGAAAAGAGAGUUAAACAGUACGUGAAAUUGUCAAAAGGGAAGCGUUUGACACCAGUGUUGUUUUCUCGAAAAUCAAUUAAAAUGGCUCGAUUUUGUAUUGUUGAGACCUUAAAAGCUCACUGUACAUUUUUCGUGUCUUUUUUAAUGCACUUUUCGUUUAACAAGUCAACAUCAGUUUCUUUUGUUGUAAAAGGGUCAUUGGAAGGUGGCUUUCUUUUCGGAGAAAGUGUUUAUAGCCUUUGGCCUCUGCAAUCGGAGAGACUGAGGUCUGCAGCGUAGACUCUUCGGGGUUAGAUACAUUUGUGCUAAGUUAUAGCUUUUUAUAGACAACUUGUUGACUAUAAUUAGUCUUGUAGCUUACUCGCUUAUGCUAUUUUACCUACGCUUAGGAUGUUGAUCUACAGAGCGAGAGU